GCUGAACAAAGAUACAGAAACACAUUUCUGUAUUAUAGUGUGUCAUGGUUUCAUGAUUUUCGGUUAUUGGUACUCAACAUUAUAACAUCAUGUAGUGGAUGUACCUGGUUCUCAGAAGAGAAGGACUACUACAUUCCCCACGGUACUUUGCUCCUCUGUUACCAUUUUCCAGCCAGAGGGAAAAGAUAAAAGCUCGCAGUAUAAAAACUUCCAGAUCAUGAGACCUUGUCCCUUUUUUCCGCCAUCUCUCGUCUUGGCAGCACCUCGCUCUCCAGCCGUCUUAUCGUCGGUAGUAGAGUAAGGCCUACCUUGAUUUUGGGACAUUCUCUCUCUCUGUAUUGGAUUUAUCAGCUUAAAUUGUAAUUAUAUUGUAUUAUAGUGUGUUGUUUUGCAUUCCGAUAUUUUAUUUAGUAAAUUAGUUUGUUUCUCCUCAGAUUGUUGCCGCUGUUCUUUGCUCUCAGGGCCAUCUCCUCACCCUUUUCCCCUUUUCCUUUUUUCUGGGGCGUGGGCCUGUGGGUCCCCCGUCCCCUUCGUCAUGGAACCGGGCCAAACGCCCGUAAACCGUUGACAUAGUGGUAGAAACCUAAUCUGUCAGUCUCCUGAUGAGCAUUGAAGGGCUCCAGGUGAAUCCUCUAAAAAUAAAUGGAGCUAAUCCUACCCUUCCUCAACUGCUGACGUAUUGGUGAGCUCUCUUCUGACCCUAAGCUGCAUUUGGGGAUUUAUUCCAUAGGGAAGUGCUAACCUUUGAAGAACAAGAAUGUGUGGUGGAGUCAGAUUGAUAGGUGUUUUGGCUGUGGAACAAGUUUGGGACUGAUGGUUCGUUGGCAUGAGGCAGAGUCUACCAGCGGCCCCAGAGAGCCAGACGAAUAGGUCUGCAAAUUUCAGAUGCCAAAUUGCAGUUAACUAUGCUUCAGCUGAACAAAUUGCUAUUCUAAUCCCUCUACUAGCGUGAGCUGAAGUACUUUACUUUGGUUCCCAAAAACAAUUUGAACAUCUCUGUCAGAACAAAAACUUCAAUACCACAUAAAAAGGCUGACUGAAGAAGAACCUAUCAGAA
rnacentral:lncRNA from 1 species